AGUGAACGCUGGCGGCGUGCCUAAUACAUGCAAGUCGAACGGAGAUUAAGUAGCUUGCUAUUUAAUCUUAGUGGCGCACGGGUGAGUAAUAUAUAGCUAACUUGCCCAUUACUAAGGGACAACAGUUGGAAACGACUGCUAAUACCUUAUACUCCGUAUCUAUAUAAGUAGAUACGGGAAAGUUUUUCGGUAAUGGAUAGGGCUAUAUCGUAUCAGCUAGUUGGUAAGGUAAUGGCUUACCAAGGCUAUGACGCGUAACUGGUCUGAGAGGAUGAUCAGUCACACUGGAACUGAGACACGGUCCAGACUCCUACGGGAGGCAGCAGUAGGGAAUAUUGCUCAAUGGGGGAAACCCUGAAGCAGCAACGCCGCGUGGAGGAUGACACUUUUCGGAGCGUAAACUCCUUUUCUUGGGAAAGAAUUAUGACGGUACCCAAGGAAUAAGCACCGGCGAACUCCGU
rnacentral:rRNA from 1 species